GUCAGAGAGUGACACGUCCUAGGCGAGGAUAGUUUCCUAUAUAAGGGACGGUUAUUCCUCACUCGGCGUCUCCGCAUUGUAAGCUUAUGCUCUCCCUCUCAAGACGCAUUAAAGCUUUUCUGCAGUAGGAUCCUGUGUGUGCCGCAUCAUUCCUGCUGCAGAGAGUUGCUGUAUAAAAGUUGAUACCAGGGAUCCACCACUGUUAUUAGAUCUAAGAUUUGGACUACCUACUUUACUCACAGAGCACCUUAUGAAAUGAGUGUAACCCAAAAAUGUGAACACAUUGUCACAAUGUGAUAUGAAUAUUAAUUAAGAAUAAACCCAAAGAAUAUAUUGAGCAGUAAACAAAAUCACUGGAAUUUGUGAUCAAGUAAGUAUAAGGGCAAUGGAAUAUGUUUUGUACGUAGUUUCUAAAAUUUGUCCUUUUCUCUUUUCCUCUCUCCCCCACAUCCUUUUCUCCUCUGCCCCUAACUUACAUUCUUCCUUCUUCCUCACUACCUCUGUAUGUUUUCCUUCUUCUCCACUCACUGCCGCAUAUAUCUCUUUGAAACAACAUGCAGUACAUGUCACAAUAUUUUACAAAUUGGAUUAAAUCACAUCAUGCAUAGAAUUUUAUCUGUUAUGAAACGGCUGCUAUACAAAGACUUCAAUGUGACUUGGGAAUCUGUAUUGGAAGAGAUGCAAAUAUAUGCAGGAAUAUGUGGGGACUCAUAUGCAUGUGUAUGCGAAGGCAUGAAGUCAACCAUAGUUGUUGCCCUUGGUGUUUUUUCUGAGACAACAUUCCUCACAGGUCUAAAACUCACCAUUUAGAAGCCAAAGCUAAUUAGCUAGCGAACAUCAGAAAUCCGCCUGUCUCUACCUACCAGACAAUAAGAUAUCAAGUAUACUUUCCCAUGCCUGAUUUUUUUAUAUGAUUCAUAGAAUGUUAACUCAGGUCAUCAAGCUUGCAAUUCAAAUAUUUUAACAUCUCAGUUAUUAUCUCCCUAUGCUCAAAUAUUAAGAUUUUUAAAUAUUAUUUUGCAUUGAGAAGAAAAUUGGAUUAAAUUAUUUAAUAUAUACAGACAUAUAACACAUAUAUGAUUAAGAAAUAUUUUAUACACAGAACAUCUAUGCAUAAAUUUAUACAUAUACUCAUACAUCUAUAAUCUAUCUAUCUAUCUAUCUAUCUAUCUAUCUAUCUAUCUAUCUACCUACCUACUUAUUUACCUACACACGUAAGUGUAUUUAUAAAGGAAGAAAGAGCAUAGACUGACUCAAAUCUCUUAGGAUUUAAACCAUGUAUUAUUUUCCCCAGAUUAAUGUCUUCUACUUCAAUAUGACUCUUUUGUUCAGAUCUGUCUUUACCACUCUGGCAAGUCUGCUUUCCCUGUUCUCUCUCAGUUCUAUACUCACAGGAUGACUUCUUCAAAUCUGUUGAACUUGGCAGCACCAGAGCAAGAGUGUUCUCACCUCUUACCUGAUAACUGUUGCUUGGUCUGCAUCUCCAGUGUAAAUGGCAGUGUGAGGAGUUCUCUUUAGUUGUAGUGCUAGGCCCUCCUUCUCCCUGUGAUACCCUUCUGCCUACUUUGACUUUGCAGUGGUUGCUUUCCUCACCAGACUCCUUUGCCUUCUAUAUGAUUAAUUUGAGCACACAAAUAUGCUAUAAUAAUUAUCACCUACAAAACUAGUCUCGGAUUGUACUACCACAGCGAUCUGAGCUUUCACACAUUAAUUAUUAAUGAAGACAAUACUACAUAGAAUGCUGAUAGGCCAUUCUCAUGUAAACAUUUUUCCUUGUUAAAAUUUUCACUUCUCAUGUAUGUUUCGGUUUAUGUCAUCAUGAUUGAAAAAUCAGUACAGGGGUAUCCCAUGCAAACUUUUCCCCCAUGCCCAGCGAGUCUUCCUGUCAGCUUCCUGUCAGCAUUAUUACUUAUUUUUUCCUUUGUACAACAUGGUUGCAUGAAUGGGUGUCCAAUGCCUGAGUGUGUGUGUGUAUGUGUGUGUGUGUGUGUGUGUAUGUGUGUGCAUAUAUGACAAUGAGCUAGGCAUACAUACAUACAUGCACACAUAGACACACACAUACACACACGGAGAGAGAGAGAGAGAGAGAGAGAGAGAGGGAGGGAGAGAGAGAGAGAGAGAGAGAGAGAGAGAGAGAGAGAGAGAGAGAGAGGAGAAUGCAUGUUGUGAGCUCACAUACAUCACAUAUGCUAUGUGCCCAGACCAGAAACUUACAUGGAUGUCAGUCUUUAUCAUCUACUUUGUUUGUGAAAGUCAUUUGUUCCCACUGCCACUGCAUGGCUAGCUGACCCCUUAGGCCUCUAGAGAUGCUUCUAUCUUUGUCCCUCAUUUCCCAGUAGAAAUUUGGGACUUACAGACUCACAUGCUUCUAUACCCAACUUUUCAUAGUUUUAGUAAUGCAAACACAUAUCUGUGGACUCUCCACUUCUCUUCUUGUUAAACCCAUACUUUCACCACAUUGACCAGUAUUCAUUGAAUUUGCACUUAAGAAUAUUGUGGAAUGCCUCCAUGGUUUGGAGAGAGACAGACUAGGGUUAAAAUUCUCUUCUAGUCAAAAAAGCCUAGACAUAGUCUUUUCUGGUUUCUAAAAAGCCUAUGUUUGGUCUUUUUUAGUUUCCACCAAAUAAGUCUAUUCCUUGCAACACUUAUAUAUUUUGUGUUCCUCAGAAAAAAAAUUAUGUAUUCUGCACAGCACCUUUUUUUCUUCCCAUGGGUUUCUACCCCCUUUCAAACUUGCAAUAAAGAUUGAAUUGAAAAUUUUCAAUGCUCUAGAUACUGGUUUUGAAGCAAGAUUUACUCAGUACUCUUUAGGGAUGUGCUGAGUUCAGAGCAAUGUUAUAGACCCAAGGAAGAGAACAGCCAGCAAAACAGCUUAUGCCUUCAAUAAAGUACCCCACUGAGAAGAAAAAGAGAAAACACAUAUUCUCUAAAAGAACAAACAAAAUUAAAUAAUGGUAUGUGUUGUACACAACAGUCCCUUACUGCUCUUUGAAAUAUAAAGAAUAUGGUAAUUCCCUAAAAAUCUGGAGACUGUAGCCUUUAGAAUGUGAUAUUUGAGCUGAACCUCAAUGGUUAAAAACAAAUAUUGCUGAGAAGUGAUCAGGGACGUGAUUUCUACUCAAAAUGAACUUGAAUGUGAAGAAACUGAUGUAGAACACAGUUAUGUAUGUCCAGGGACAGAUGAAAGAUUAAUACAGGUGAUAACCAGAGGCAAAUGCAUACAUAGAGAGAAUGGCAGAUAGGCUGGAAGGACAUUUGAUUUCAUUCAAGUAUGAAUAAUAAGCAACAUAGUACUGUACCUCCUGUGCAGCUGUGAUUCUUUUUGCUUGCUAGCACAAGUUGAAAGUUUAUGUGUCCUUCUGGAGAGACAUUCCUUUUUUGCUCAAAGACCUUUCAUCUUCAAGAUUCCACUUAAAUUGUAGAUAAACUGCUUUUUUAGGAAUCUAUUGGGUUUAUGAUACCAGAUUGGAAAUACUGACACAUCACACUUGUAGAUGGAAUAAAUAUUAGAUUCUUGGUCUUUUGGUUCUGAGAUAGACAUUACUGUACUAUUGAACCAUCGAUUAUAAGCCACAUGAUUCAAUCACAUAUAAAUAUAGAUAUAUAAUUAUGUGUGUGUUCUAUCAAUUAUGUUUCUUUAGAAACCCCUGAGUAAUAUAGUGCUGCAUGAUUAUUUUUUUCUAUUGCUGUGAUUAAGUACCCUGAGGCUACAAAUUAAAGCAAAAGUGUUUCUUAUGGCCAACAGUUCCAAAGGAUAUAGUUAAUCGUGGUGGGGAAGAUGCAGCAUCAGUUUGAAAAAAUAUAGUAGUAGGAGCAAGAGGAGAGCUGGCCAUAUUCCAUGCACAACUAUGAAGCAGAACGUGAAAAGAAAGUGGGACAUUUCUACUGAGGUCCAACUUCCUCAAGGUUCUAUAUCCUAAAUUGCAUGUUCCUAUGGCUUCUUCACGUUCAAAUCCCAAAGUCCUUGUUUGCAAACUAAUAAAUUAUAACUAGAUGGAUAUAUUUGGAUACAAAAUUCAUACUACAAAGACAGAUAGUAGAAGGUAGCAAGGAAGAAGUUCUGGGACUACCCUAUAGAUUGCAAACUAUUUGACAUGGCAGAAAUUAUCUGGAAAAUAUCUGGAAAAAUAAAAAAGCGCUCUCUCUCUCUCUCUCUCUCUCUCUCUCUCUCUCUCUCUCUCUCUGAUAUUGGGAACAUUGCAGAAGACAAGAGAAGAGAAGGUGUAAAAAAUGGUGUAUAAAUGGUAAAAAAAAUCAAGGAGUUGGCUCUGAAAUUGACUCUCCUAGUAAUGUUAGAAGCUACACACAGAGUCUCAUCAACAUAUAUGAGCUAAAUGAGGACAAUACCAAUGGAUAUAUCAAAGGGAAUGCAGAAAUCCCUUGAGGUCUUGACACUACACAAAUAACUGUAAGCAAGUAUAGGAAAGCUGAGAAAGGUAGGGAAACCGUAGUAGAAAAAUACACACACACAAAUAUUAAUAUGUAAUUAAGCUUUAAAACCAUUGGGUUUUAAACAAACAUUUCCCCACAUCUUUCUAAAAGCAGACAUUGAUUUUAUCUUGCACAUAUCUUACCUUAACACUUCACAAUUUAAAUCAGAUAUGACUCACUCUUACCUCUUCCCUGAAUCUCAGGAAAAACCUGUCUAUUGGUGUCAGUAUUUCUAUACAAAUACAGGAUAUAAGUGAAAGUAGAUCAAUCAGUAGCUCCUUCCCACCACUUUUCUGGAAAAGGAAACCUGACUCAAGGAAGCAUUCUUUUUCUAUUGGAUAUUUUAUGUAUUUAUAAUUCAAACAUUAUCCCUUUUCCCAGUUUCCCCUCUGUAACACCCGGUCCCUCCUAUGAGGUUGCUUCCACUCCGAACCACCCAUUCCAAUCUCACAGUCCUUGCUUUAACCUACCCUAGGGAAAUUGGGCCUUCAGAGAACCAAGGGCUUUUCUGAUGCCAGGCAAUGCCAUCCUCUGCUACAUAUGCCACUGUAGCCAAAGGUCCCUCCCUGUAUAUUCUUUAGUUUGUGGUUUGGUCCCUGGGAGCUCUGGGGGACUCUUAGGUCAUUUCUACUACCUCCUUAAGCUGAAGAGGAAGAGCCUAGCCCAUCUAUGCCUUUGUGGAUGUUCACAUCAAAGUAAGGACCUUGUUAUAAAUAGAUAUAACCGGAUGUUAACAUUUAAAGCAUUUUCAUUAAACAGGGAUUUACUCAACCAUAAACUGUCACCUCUUACAUACAGUUUUUCAAAAGUCAUAUCACCAGUAUAUCUUUACUCCAAUUUUAUGUAGUGACAUCAACAUUUUCCCAUGUGUUAAUUUGUAUGCAACUCCAGAGAUGCUUCUUACCAAACCCAGGAGAGAUGACUUAAUCAGUAAAACACCUGUCAUGCAAAAUGAGGACAUGAAUUCAAAUCACCAACACCCACAUAAAAAGGGGCGGUAAUAACUAGGUGGUCGACUGUGUCGAGAUGGAGCUGAAUAUCUACUUCACGGCAACUGGCUAUGAAAAAUCAUUUAAGUGGAUAAUGAACACAAGCUUCAUACAUUCUAUGAAAGUAACAUGGCCACAGAAGUACCCACUAAUGCUUUUGGUGAAGAGUGGCAGGAUUAUAUAGUCUGGGUCAGCGAUGGAAACGAAUAACAAGCUUUUCCCAUGAAGAAACCCAUGUUUUGUUUUGACCUAUGGCAGAGUCCACUUGCUUUUGAGUAAGGGGCUUUUUUGUAAUAGGUCAAGAAAAACUAGAGAGCGAACUGCAUUGUAGAUGCCAAUUGAAGUGUUCUAAACUUGGUUAUUGUUAAGAGAGAGAGAGAGAGAGAGAGAGAGAGAGAGAGAGAGAGAGAGAGAGAGAGAGAGAGAGAGAGGAGGAGGAGGAUAUUCCAGUACAGAGAGAUGACAGAUACUACUGUGCCUCUUCAGUUGGGACCUAAAAGAGGUAGUAGAAUCCAAAAGCAUUUUAAUCUUUCCAAAGACGAUGGCUGCCAGUAUGUUGUCAUAAAGUCCUUAAACAAAGAAGGUAAGAAGCAAAGGACCAAAGCAUCCAAGAUUCAGUGUCUUGUUACUCUACGUGUCCUGCAACACAAACGGAAAUGUAUUGCUCUGAAGAGAGAAUGUACUAAGAAAAAGAAGGUAGACAUGACAGAAUAGGCUAAACUUUUUGCCAAUAGAAAAUGAAGGAAGCCAAAAAAAAAAAAAAGAAAGAAAAAAGAAACCAAAUGAAAACAAAACAAAAACAACAACAACAACAAGAAAAAAACCCCAAAAACCAAAAAAAAACCACACAAAAAGAAACCAGUAACAACAACAACAACAACAACAAAAAAAAAACAAAAAAGACAAACAAACAACCCCACAAUACCAGAAACAGAUUGCCAAGAGACAUAGGCUAUCCUUGCCGAGAACUUCUAAUUCUGAGUUGAGUAAAAAAUAAGUCUUUAAGAGCAACCAAUAAAGGGGGUUGGGAAUUUAGCUCAGUGGUAGAGCGCUUGCCUAGGAAGCGCAAGGCCCUGGGUUCGGUCCCCAGCUCCGAAAAAAAGAAAGAAAAAAAAAAGAGCAACCAAUAAAUAAUCAGGCCUUAAAAAGAAAGUGGGUAGUAAGGAAGCAGUGAAAAAUGGAUUCCUAGCGCAUAUGGGCAAACCAGUGAGCCCAAGGUACAGUAAAGUAUGGACUCCAGAAAUACAAUGAAGAGCUAUUGAAGUAAACACCUAGGGUCAACUUCUGGGUUUCAUACAAAUGCUAUCACAUGUGCACAUGCACUUGCUCACACAUAUUACAUAUAUGAAUAUGGCAUACCCACACCCAUAUCAAACAUAACACACAAAUACAUGCACAUACAUACCAAAUACCCCUUACACACCCCAGACAAUAAAACACACUUCACACACCUAAAACAUACCCCACAUGCUACAACACACACUCACACACUCACACACACACUUCCUAAAAAAUACAUUAAGUAUUUCCUUAGCUUAAAGGAACCUAUACUUUUCUUUGAUUACUUUUAUCCAUGUAAGAGCAAGAGCUUCACACACUAGUUAUGCUAGCCCAUAUUUAUUUUGCAAUAAUUUCUAUUCCUGUUCCCAUGUCUGUUUUGUGAAAUAACAUAAAAGGCUACUUUUACUUCAUUAUUUAUUUCCAACAAUUAGGGCUCAAUUAUGUUAAGUGAAUGGCAGUUGUCAAUCAUGUGUUUUUCUUCAUCCAGUUUCAUGUCAGGCAGCUUCUUUUCAUUUCCAUAUUGGUCUACAUGACUGUUAAUAUUAAAAGAUCUAAUUACAAAUGACUUUCCUUAAUAUAAAGUUUUAAUUCAACUCUUCAAGUUAAUUUUGAGAACCAUAUUCCCUUAUCACUUUCCAUGUUCUCUUAUAAAUGUAUGACCUCUUUUUCAUUAAUUUUUUUACACACACACACACACACACACACACACACAUACACACACACACGAACAUAUACAUUCCUAGAGAUAGUAAUCUAACAUGAUCAGUUUAAAUACUUUUACAUGUGUAUUAAGGACUGACCAUUUGGUUGCCUCACCAAUUCAUGUGCUCUUUCAUGAGAGAGACUAUGGUCCCCGUUCUCUGCAUCCUUUAGUUGCUUGUAGUUAUUUGUGUGUGUAGAGUUGAGACCUCAUGAGCUUUCCCCCAUUCAUGUUAGCAUGUUUAGGCAAUAAUUUUGGUGAGACUAUAUAGAGAGUGUCUCUUCUGCAAUUCUAAGGAGAAAAAAAAAAUCUCAUAUCCAUUUAUUUGCUCUUCUGACUCUUACAGAUCGUCUGUCCCCACUUGAGCAAUGUUCCCUGACCCUUACAUAUGGAAGUUCAGUUGUAGAUGUAUCCACUGGGACUGGGCUCUACACCUCUGAAUUUUUAUUAGUCAUGGUUUUCUGUAAUGGUAUGUUACAAAGAGAGGCUUCCUUUAUUCGAUGUGAGAGAUAUACUUAUGGAUGAAUAUAAAAACAAUUAUUUACAAUGUAGUUAGGAAUUAUGCUGGUUUGGCAAAGUGGCAAGUGUAGAUUGUCCUCUCAGAUCCAGGACACCAAUUACUGGAAAGUAAGCUAUGUUAUUGACUAGCUUUCCAGUACCAGGCAUGUUAAGUGUUCGGUUUCACCCUUCUUAUGUCGAAGCAAAAAGCAGUUGGUUGCUAUUUAGCUAUGCAUACCACAACUGCAUCCUUCUGGUUAUUGUGUCACACUGCUUGUUGUUUUGGUUUGUAGGCAUCAUAACUCGGAAAACUUCUGACUGAUUCCUUUGCAAGCUUGUAUAGCAUGUUCUCCUGCUUAAAGACAGUCCUCAGGAAGGAAGUUUUAAGGUUUUCAAUUUGGAAUAAACAGUGAGUGGAAUAAACAGGAUAUUCCCUAAGCCUAGAGGAUGUCUGAGCCAACGGAAGAUGCACUAGUCAAAUCUGGAACUCAGGGAAUGGGAUAUGAGCAAAGGGAGACACUCAACAUUGUUCUGGUAUACUGUAACUGAUGACAAAACAUUGAAGCCAGAGAACAAAAGUCUAUGAAAGUUUUGGGAGAGCUGAAAGGAAUAGUUACAGUCAGCAUACAAAGGUAAGUCACAUGGAAACUAGGUAAGCUAGUGGGUAAAUUAUGCCUUUGGCUUGUAGUUCACAAUCCAUUUAGGGUACAGACACUACAUUGUAAGGGAUUGAAAGAUAUGGCUCAGUCAGAAAAGUGCUUGCCUCAGAAUCACAAGUAACUGAGUUUGAUUCCCUAGAACACACAUGGAAAAAGCAAGUAUACUUUUGUAGCUGGAAUCUCAGAACUUGGGUUUGGGGGUUCAUUCUUAGAGAUGACAUGGCACCCACAAUUCAUUGUUGAGUUCAAAGUAAAACUGUGAUAUUCUGUGCCACAUCCCAAGUAGAAGGCACCAAAGGAAUGUCACUCUAGUGUCCACAUACAUAGAGACACAUGUUCUUAUACACCACCAAGCAGGACCCCAUCUGUCCAUACAUGAAACAGCUCAGAAACUUUAAAAAACAAAAGAUGUAAGCUGGGGGAGAAGGAAGAGAAAUAUCUCAGUAAGGUCUGAGACUGAAAAUAGCCAUGCUAUGUUUUUUUUUUUCCCAUCUUUAUUAACUUGGGUAUUUUUAUUUACAUUUCAAAUGUCAUUCCCUUUCCAGGUUUCCAGGCAAACAUCCCACUAACCCCUACCCCUCCCCUUCUCAGUGGGUGUUCCCCUCCUCAUCCUCCCCCGAUUACCACCCUACCCCCAACAAUCAUGUUCACUGCGCUUUCAGUCUUGGCAGGACCAAGGGCUUCCCUGUCCACUGGUGCUCUUACUAGGCUAUUCAUUGCUACCUAUGAGGUUGGAGCCCAGGGUCAGUCCAUGUAUAGUCUUUGGGUAGUGGCUUAGUCCCUGGAAGCUCUGGUUGGUUGGUAUUAUUGUUCAUAUGGGGUCUCAAGCCCCUUCCUUCAAGCUCUUUGAGUCCUUUCUAAGAUUCCUUCAACAGGGAUCAGGUUCUCAGUUCAGUGGUUUGCUGCUGGCAUUCGCCUAUGUAUUUGCUGUAUUCCGGCUGUGUCUCUCAGGAGAGAUCUACACCCGGUUCCUGCCAGCCUGCACUUCUUUCUUUAUCCACCUUAUCCAGUUUGGUGGCUGUACAUGUAUGGUCCACACAUGGGGCAGGCUCUGAAUUGGUGUUCCCUCUGCCUCUGUUCUAAACUUUGCCUCCCUAUUCCCUCCCAAGGGUAUUCUUGUUCCACUUUUAAUGAAGCAGUGAAACAUUCACAUUUUGGUCAUCCUUUAUGAAUUUCAUGUGUUAUGUGCAUCUAGGUUAAAUUCGAGCAUUUGGCCUAAUAUCCACUUAUCAAUGAGUGUGUGUUUUUCUGUGAUUGGGUUACCUCACUCAGGAUGAUAUUUUCCAGUUCCAUCCAUUUGCCUACGAAUUCCAUAAAGUCAUUGUUUUUGAUAGCUGAAUAACAUUCCAUUGUGUAGAUGUACCACAUUUUCUGUAUCCAUUCCUCUGUUGAAGGGCAUUUAGUUUCUUUCCCGUUUCUGGCUAUUAUAAAUAAGGCUGCUAUGAACAUAGUGGAGGAUGUGUUUUUGUUAUAUGUUGGGGCAUCUUUUGGGUAUAUGCCCAAGAGAGGUAUAGCUGGGUCCUCAGGCAGUUCAAUGUCGAGUUUUCUGAGGAACCUCCAGACUGAUUUCCAGAAUGGUUGUACCAGUCUGCAGUCCCGCCAGCAAUGGAGGAGUGUUCCUCUUUCUCCACAUCCUUGCCUUGCUGUCACCUGAGUUUUUGAUCUUAUCCAUUCUCACUGGUGUGAGGUGAAAUCUCAGGAUUCUUUUCAUUUGCAUUUCCCUUAUAACUAAGGUAAUUGAACAUUUCUUUAGGUUUUUCUAAGCCAUUUAGCAUUCCUCAGCUGGGAAUUCUUUGUUUAACUCUGCAGCCCAUUUUUAAUACAGUUAUUUGUCUCCCUGCAGUCUAACUUCAUGAGUUCUUUGUAUAUUUUGAAUAUAAGGCCUCUAUCAGUUGUAGGAUUUGUAAAGAUUUUUUCCCAACCUGUUGGUUGUCAUUUUGUCCUAACAAUAGUGUCCUUUGCCUUACAGAAGCUUUGCAGUUUUAUGAGAUCCCAUUUGUUGAUUCUUGACCUUAGAGCAUAAGCUGUUGGUGUUUUGUUCAGGAAAUUUUCUCUAGUGCCCAAAUCGAGAUUCUUCCCCACAUUUUCUUCUAUUAGUUUGAGUGUAUUUGAUUUGAUGUGGAGGUCCUUGAUCCACGUGGAUUUAAGCUUUAUACAGGGUGAUAAGCAUGGGUCAUUCUGCAUUCUUCUAUAUUCUUUCCUCCAGUUGAACUAGCACCAUUUGCUGAAAAUGCUAUCCUUUUUCCAUUGGAUGAUUUUGACUCCUUUGUCAAAAAUCAAGUGACCAUAGGUGUGUGGGUUCAUUUCUGGGUCUUCAAUUCUGUGCCACUGGUCUGUCUGUCUCUGUACCAAUACCAUACAGUUUUUAUCACUAUUGCUCUGUAAUACUGCUUGAGUUCAGGGAUAGAGAUUCCCCCAUGGUAUGUUUUUUGUUGCUGCCAACUGCUUAUAUAGAGAUUCAUUUACAAUCUCCCAUUUUUGACAACAGUAUAUUGUUUGUCUAGACAAUGGACAAUAUCCAGGUUACAUAAUGUGUCCUACAAAAAUUUGACAAAAAGUAAAAUAAAUAUGUUGUGUAUUAUUAUGUACAAAGAGUUCAAUAUAGUUAAGAAUUUGAAUAGGUUUAUAUUAAUAAUGGCAAAAUGCUUUGAGAAACAUUUUUUAAAAUGAUUGGUGCCUGGAAGAGAACUGUAUGAAAAAUAAACUUUUCUCAGAGAGGGAAAGGAAACCUAAAAGAAUCAAUCAACAUGACAAGAAUGCUUUUACAGAGAAUAUUAUGUAUUAUUAUUUACAAAAUAAAAAGUCAAGAGAGAAAUAUUGAUAAUUAGUUCAAUAGAUAAAAAUUUUAUAUCCAAUAAAAUAUCUAAACAUCUAUUAUUAGCAAAUAGUUUAGCACAUUAAAACAGAAUAUCAUUGUGUUAGUUCCUGGUCUUAGUGCUGUGACAAGACACCAAACAGACAGAAACUUAUAGAAGAAUAGAUUUAUUUGGCUCCAGUUUUUGGUACAGACCAUAUCACAAGAGGGCCCACAAAGAUAGGAGAGUGAGGAGGUCUAUCACAAAGUAUGUAUCAGGAGGUAGAAGCAAAACAAUGCUAGUAUUUAGCUAAAUUUUUCCUCUUUAUUCAGUCCAGAACUUCACCAGCCACACUUAAUGUGGGUCUUCUCUACCUAGUUAAAUAUUUUGGAAAUAUCCUUAUAGACACACCCAGAUAUGUGUUUCCUUGGUGAUUUUAAUUCUAUGCAAGGUAAAAGUGAUCAGGAACUAUCAGAGUUGUAUAUGACAAACAUUAAUGAUGACAUGUUCAAAGUGCUUUCUUAAAAUCUUCAAAUAUCCAUCAGAUCAUCAAACUAAUAAAUGUAUCAAUGAAUGGCUAUUUAAAAAGUUUUAAAUUGUCAUAGACUCUAUGAAAAUGAUUAUCAUCCUCUGUCAUCAGGGAAAUAUAAAUUGAAAGUUUAUUAAAAUUUCAUAUCAUCCUUGUAAGUGUUGUCAUGAACAACACAACAAUGUUUGCAAGAAUAUGGUGAAGUUGCCCUUACACAGUUAUGGCAGGAAUAUUGACAGUUAGAAUCACUCUGGGAAUCAACAAGGAGAUACCUUGUACGUGUAACAAUAGGGCCAGCAUAAGAUCCAGUUAAACUACCAGAAAUCUAAGCCAGCAUCCACAGAUUCACUUUCAUACCUUUGUUUAUGUAGCACUACUUAUAAUCAGCAAGGACAUUGGAGCAGUUUGAAUUAAUUAUCACCAAAAGAAUAAGUAUAGAAAAUGGGGUCUAUAUAUACAAAAGAGUUCUAUACAAUGGUGAAUAAAAGUGGAAUUAUAUGAUUGACAUGAAAAUGGAUAGAACUGGAAAUCAUGGUGAUAAGUAUAAUAAUCUAGAAGCAGAAAGGCAAACACUACGCCCUUGGUUAAACAUAAGAGUCUGUAUGUGCUUAGGCCAUUAAAUUAGAAGUUUAUUAUGAAAAGGAGAGAUUAAGAAGACAAUUGUGCUUCUACAUUCAGUGUAGAUAUGUCCACUCUCUUAAAUAUAUACUGAUACAGGCAUGUUCCUGCACAUGUAUGAGCAUACACAGAAAAUAUGUAGAUGCUUAUGAGUUGAUUUGAAGUCUGAGACACUUGCUCCCUGUCAUUUACCCAGACUACUACACCAACAAUUUUGAAUAUAAAUGUGGUUUGUAGAAGGUACAUGUGUUGAGAUUCACUUUCAGAGGAAACUGUAAAAACAAAACAAAACAAAACAAACAAAAAAUAGCUGAAAUUUGGCAAUAUUCUCUAUGUACAAUGGCAUCUAAAAACACAAUCUAAUACCAAGGUCUCUCAUAAGAAAAGCACCCAUUACCUCAUUAUCAGAGGUAGUGUCUUCAGCAUUUCAAGCUAUUGUACAUGUAGCUUGACAAUUUUUUCUUGCCUUGUGUGUGCAUUUUACAAGUUAUUAUUCAUUGAUCAAGAAAAAAUAUGUUGCAAGUUUUAUUAAGGUUCAUGUUCACUUUAAGAAGAAAUGGACACUAAAUAUAAUCUAUCUAAAUUCAAUACAUAUUUUAUACGUCACAUUACUAAUUUUUAAGGCAGAAAAAGGUAAAUGUUGAAAUAAGUUAUAGAGAAGCAAAGAAGAAAUGAUAGCUUGGAUCAAACUAGACUAUUUCUUUUUAUUUAUUUAUUUUAAGCUUUAGUUUUGAAGUUUUUAAGCUUUAGUUUCAAAGUGUUUGAGAGAGAGAGAGAGAGAGAGAGAGAGAGAAAGAGAGAGAGAGAGAGCUUGAAGUGCAUAUGUCUCCCUUUUUAUGUGUCUGUGUCUCUGUGUCCUGUCUCCAUUUUAUGUGUCUUUGUUUGAGGGGUGUAUUUCUCUGUGUGUGUGUUUGUGUACAUUUGUAUAUGUUUGUCCAUCAGUCUAUCUGCUGUAUUUCUCUCUUUGUGUGUACGUUGUUUCUCUCUGUAUAUGUAUGUGCUCAUGUAUAUGUCUGUGUUUGUGUGUAUGUAUCUGUGGUGUCCAGAAGAGGGUGUUAGGUCCACUAGAGCUGGUUCUAUAGGCAAUUGUGAGCUACCUGACAUGGAUAGUAGGAACUGAACUUAUGUCUUCUAGAUGAACAGCAACAACUCUUAAACACUGAGUCAUCUCUCUAAUUCCACAACUUCAGUUUUCACUGGAUUAUGGUUUCUUCUUUAACAUCUAGCCUGUAAGACAACUUCCAAUGAUAUGAGGCCAAGGUGACUUAUCUGUGAGAGAGAGUAACUUCUGCAUUUCAGUUCCUAACCCCAGGAUCUGCACUGGGCAAUGUCUGUCCACAGGUAGAGUAUAUGUGCCUUAUGCCUGUCUCAGCUCACAAAAAAGCUGCAAAUGUGUUCUCAUGGUAAUCUCUUUUUGAAUCAUCUUAACUCUGUUUUCACUGUGGCAGGAAGUUUCAGUCUCUUCCCGUUAACUCCAGGUGACCCUCUAGCCCAUGCCUGUUCCCUAUAUUUUACAGUUUUGUGCUUCUUCUCACAGCAAUUCUUAUCACUGUUUAAAUGUACAUUAUUGAUUUUAAGUAUGACUGAGCCAUUUAAACAUGCUUUUUAUACAUUUUGAAUUUUUUUCUUUUUUUCUGGAAAUUCCUUUCAAUAACUUACUCAUUUGUCUAUUGGUGUGACUGUAAUUUCUGUCAUGAUUCAAGGCUUUAGGGCUUCUUCCAUAGUUUCUAAACAAUUUCUGAUGAAUUAGAACACUGUGAAUAACAUUUGUAACCCAUAUAUUAAUUUUUCUUAUUGUGCCAAAAAGGGAGAAAAGUCUCAUCCUAUUUUCAUUUCUGUUACUAUGAUGAAUUCCCUGAAAUAAGAAUAUUUGGCUUACUAUUAUGGGUUAUUAUCCUUUAUUUGGAUAGGUCAAGGCAAGAAUUUAAAUCCUCAAACCUCAUAUGCGUAUAAUUUUCUCAUAAUUAUCAUGUUAAAGCGUAAUACAAACUUCCCUUAGAUUUCUUGCUUUCUGUAUCACAUCUAUGUCAGUAGAUGGCAGAGGCUACUUCUUAGAUUUAAAUUUUACAGACAGGUUAUGAAAUACAGAAAAGCUAUCAUUAAAACAAAACAUGAAUCCCCUAAGUAUCCAGUGAAGUAGUAUUUGCUAAAUGAAAGGGUCAGUAUCUUGGUGUUUUUCUAAAUCAUAAUGUGUUUGGUUUUUUCAGAAGACGAGCCAGAGUGUCCAAGGCAUCAUCUAUAGUUUCAUGUCACAUUCAUUCUUAAAAUAGCCUGCUAUUUCGACUUUUCUAUUCCAUUCACAAAAUGCUUUUUGACUACCCCCCUUUUUUUUAUGCUUAGACGUAACAAUGUUAAAAGAGGCAGAAAUUCCAGUUUAAAAUUCUCCACUUUGCAUUUAAAACCAAGUAAGAACAGUGUAUCUAAGCAUUAGCAACUGGAUUUCACUGGUUCAAUUUUGUGACCUUCAAAUCCAUAUGUUAGGAGUUCAGUGUGUGAAAUUCUUAAUAUAUACACAUGAGGCCCUGACUUCAAUUUCUAAUAUCUUUAUUGAACUUAGGCUGGGCAUUGUUCAUGUACACCUCCAACAUAGGAUGUAGAGACAGGAUGAUUCUUGGGACUUGAUGACCUGCUGUAUUGGUACUCUAAAAGACUAUAUAUGAAUUGGUGAUUAUAAGACUAAAUAAGGCUAAAUGUGAUUGAGGACGAUACAUUAUGUUGACUUCUAGUGUUUAGAUACACAGUUACAAACACAAAUACACAAAUAUAAGAACAUACACAAACACACACACACACACACAGAGGGUUGUGACAUGUGGUAUGUGGGGAGAGAGAGAUGUUGAAGUUCAACAUUCUUUCUUUGAAUGCAGCCCAUUUGGAAAUAUUCCAUGUAGGUUUAGUCAAGUUGAGGUGAGGUAUUGUGGGAAUGUGAAAGUGACAUUCCCUGACCCACUCAAACAGAAGGCAGAUGAGGAAGGACAGAGGGAAGGAUCAACAUUAGACUUCUCCAAGUCAGAGAAGGUCCAGAACUACUAGAAACAGAAAAGAAAAGGUGUGCUUCUUUACUACCUCUGAAAAGACCAUGGCCCUACCUCCACCACUUUGAUUUCUAAUGUGCUCUGAACUUGGGGAACAAUGUCUCUGUUGUUCUAAGCUGUUUAACAUUUGGUAAUUUUUAGAGUGAUAGCUAAUAUGAUCUGUUAACUCAAGAGAAUCUAAUAUUUCUCAGCAAACAUCUGGGCAUGCCUAUGAGGGAGCUUCUAGACUGGGUUGAUUGAGGUGAAAGGACAUAUCCUAGACGUAGCAGCAUGGCAUGCUCUGAAACCCAGGGAUGAAUAAAGAGAAGGCAGUGAGCUGAACAUCAGCAUUGACCUCUCUUCUUUACUAUAGAUGCAAUAUGACAAGGAGCUUCACAUGGCCCCCUCCAUUCCAUACCAAAGUUCUCACACUUUGAGCCAAAAUAAACCUUUGCUUUCUGAAGUUCUGUUUGUCAGGCACUUUUUCACAACAAUGAGAAAAGUAACUGAUUUAAGCACAUAUCAUGCACAUUAAAGAAUUGCCAUGCUGAGAGAAAAUGAAAAGACAAGGUUGGAAAUCAGUGUUGAAAGCAGCAAGGGAUGAGACACAUUUAUGUAGGGUAGUCAGGAUGGGAUCAGAUCAUACAAAAGAACAUGUAGUCAUUGGACUGCUGAAGGGACCUCAGCAUACUCUAGCUGAUGUGACUAAGAGUGAGAGGGUUGAAAUGUAACAUGCCUACCCUUGCAGGGGACUCAUUUUGAGUUGUAACCCACCAAGAGGUCUAUCACAAUCUAUUUGAUAUGAGUCCCUCAACUGGUAGAACCGGGCACUGGAAACCAGAAGCCACUGAAACAGCUGUAUGCUAAUCUGGGCAAAAGAAAAUAAAAACCAAAUCUAGAAGUUGUUACCAACCACUGGAUAAAGGAGACAGGACAAACUUCUGUGUAUAUGUUGGAAGUAGAGCUAAUGUAAUUUCCUUAGUAAUUUUGUGUGGUUCACAAAAGGAAGUGGACAACAAGCAAGAUGUGCUCUGAGGUUUAGAGGUUGACAAUCAGUGAAACGGAAUAGCCACAACUGAGAGGAUAUAAAAGCUUGGCAGGUAGGGUAUGGUGCAAAGUAUUGUUCUGACACAUUGAGUAUAAAAUAUAUGGCAUAUUGAUAUCCAUUAGGGUACUAGUAUGCCUACUAGCUGAUGCUUCCAACUAUGAAAAUAGAACAAAGAUGCUGUCUCCAAAUUAUGGGAUGAUGGAGAAAAACUAGGUUCUGACAGACCACAGUAGACAGUAAACAGGGGGCUUCACUCUUGUAUAGAGACAGGGAGGAUGCCAGGACAACAGAGCCAACCAGAGAACCAGAACAGGAGACACAGAAUUCUGUAGGUAAAAAAAAAGUAAGUUCUCCCAGUUGCUGUGGCAGGCAUGGAAUAUUCCACACAUAUCCUGACUUUAUUCUUCUCCAUGCUUAACAUCUUGGGGUAUAAAACAGAAUAAGCGAGGAACAAAGAAAAGUGACUGAGAUGGUGCCAUAAUUAACCCUCACUGUUGACCUGAUUGAAUCUAGAAUCACUAUGGAAACAACUCUGAGUAUAUCUAUGUACAUGCUCCUGAACAGUUAAUUGAAGAGGGAGAAGUUACCCAAGCUAGGUUUCUGGAGCAAAGGAGAGAAGUGAAAACCACCUGGUUUCCAGCACUUAUGUCUCUGUUUCCCAACUGCCAAUGCAAAGUGGCUAGCUGCCUCCCAUCAUGCUCUACUGUAGUCUCAAAGGGGUACCAAGUGAACUCCUAAUCAACAAAGUUGCUUCUGUCAGAUAUCAAGCCAGAGCAGUGAGAAACUAAUAUAUAGAGAGAACUUAAAAUGCUAGGGCAGAACCUUGGCCUGCAAAGCAGUUAUUUUUUCACAGCACGAAAGACUUCCAUAGACUUCAAUUCACCAGGUCUCAUCUCCAGGCAUCAGUGGGAAAGGUGAAGAUAUAAUAAGCCUACAAUGUUUGAAGGGGGCUACUAGUUUGUUUUUGUUCCAUUUCGGAAAGCAUGUUUCAGAAACUAUUAGUAAGUUUUAACAUUCAGUACUACGUUAGUGGCUCACGUUUUACUGAUGUCUCCAUUCUAUACUUUCACGUCAAAAAAAAUGAGUGGUACUCUGCAGGAAAUAGAGGUCCACCCUUAUCUCCAUGGCCUCGAAAUGAUUUGCCUCCACUACUUUUCUUGGCAUCCUUACCAAACAUGCCAAAGGAAUAUGUUAUCAUAAAUCUAUAUAAAGACCUCUGUGCCACAGGAGACUGGGAAGCCUAAGAGGCCACCUGUGAAACUAUCUGGAGACCAAGGUGUAGGUCUGGGAAGAAAACCUUCACCUCACUUUUGUGUGGCAAUCUUGAUUAAAAAAUUAAACCCAACUUGGAAGUCCCAACUUUCCUAGACAUCGUUCUUUACACAGCCCCUAUUGUCUGUCAUAAAACCUACUUUUAUGAUUAUGUUUAAGAACAUUGGAUGUCUUCUUUCACCUUUGCUUUAAAUUCGUGUAGUUAGGAUGCAUCACUUCAGCCUGUUAACCCUGAUGUGCUCACUUUACUCUUGGAACAAUAGUGGCAGAUUUAAAGUAGAAAUAAAUUAUUUUGAAAAAGGCAGAACAAACUUUACUUCUUUAUGUUUUGACAGCAAAAUUUCCCAUUUGGAAUCAAAUUGCAAUUGUUAUAUAAGUAACAGAGGGAUAUUAAAAGCCAAGACAAGAAAUAGAAAACUCUGCCCACAUUUGAUAAUUUUCUAGGAUCUACUACUUUUGAAGAAAAUACUCUUUGAAGGCCAUGAAGAUGAUAUUACUGGGGGAAUGAGAGUUUGUGCUCACCUUUGGGUCUUUCAAGGAACCUGGUAAAUGAGCUAAUGCUAGGACCCUGGCCACAGGAGUGAUAAAUGCUGAAUUGGCAACCUGUUACCUCACAACUACC